UACGGAGGAUGCGAGCGUUAUCCGGAUUUAUUGGGUUUAAAGGGUGCGUAGGCGGGCAAUUAAGUCAGUGAUGAAAUUUUGUUGCUUAACAAUAAAACUGCCAUUGAUACUGAUAGUCUUGAGUGAAGUUGAGGUAGGCGGAAUGUGUAGUGUAGCGGUGAAAUGCUUAGAUAUUACACAGAACACCGAUUGCGAAGGCAGCUUACUAAGCUUAAACUGACGCUGAGGCACGAAAGCGUGGGGAUCAAACAGG
rnacentral:rRNA from 1 species